rnacentral:lncRNA from 1 species
AACUGCUCCUUGUGAAUGGUACUGGCAUUCUUUAUAAUAAAAGUGGAUUCUGAUUGAGCUGUAACGGCCAUAGUGGCAAAGUACGACUGUGAUCUAAUCUUAUAUGAUUUAUAUGGCCUACAAUGGUGAAGUAUAGUCAUGAUCAUUAGUUUAUCUCUGAGAUAUCUAAUAUUGAAAUGAAUAUGUUUGCCCAUUCACAGUGUUAGUUGUGGAUUCCUUUUGCCCUUAAUUGAUACAGGUUAGAACAGUUUCGUGCGAAGAUCUAUAAAAGAUGUAAAUAAAAUUGAAACACUUAAUGAUAUGACUAGAAUAGUUAUUUGAUUUCCCAUGCUUUAGUAGUUACCUUGAAAUGAGUAUGUUUCUCACUAUUUUGCCAUGACUUUGUCGUACUUUUAGUUGGUUUAACUAGUUUCUAUUUCAUUGCCUCGU